rnacentral:rRNA from 1 species
GACGACGCUGGCGGCGUGCCUAAUACAUGCAAGUCGAACGAGUGGCGGACGGGUGAGUAACACGUGGGGACCUACCCGUCAGAGGGGGGUAACACUUGGAAACAGGUGCAAAUACCGCAAAUUGGUGGAUGGACUCGCGGUGGAUUAGCCUGUUGGUGGGGUAACGGCUUACCAGGUCCACGAUGCAUAGCCGGCCUGAGAGGAUGACCGGCCACACUGGGACUGAGACACGGUCCAGACUCCUACGGGAGGCAGCAGUGGGGAAUAUUGCACAAUGGGCGCAAGCCUGAUGCAGCCAUGCCGCGUGUAUGAAGAAGGCCUUAGGGUUGUAAAGUACUUUCAGCGGGGAGGCGUUACCCGCAGAAGAAGCACCGGCUAACUCCGUGCCAGCAGCCGCGGUAAUUC